GCACACAUGAAUAUGCUUCUACACACACACCUCACGCCUCACCUGCACCUUCCUCCCUGAAAUGUUACCAUUCUGACUCACAAUUAAACCUAUUCAUAUCAUCUCUGAUACCCAUUUCAGGAAGAGGAAUGAAACAGAUACCUCUGAUUGUGUGAGUCAUCCCACGAGUAUCGUACUACUAGACAGGCACUCUAACACCAGCUUCCAGUGCUUCUUUCAAGUCCAUUUAUUGCUGCGAUUGGCAUAGUGACUUGGGAAGAUGACAAGCACGACUCUGCCUUCAGGAUUAUCGCAUGAGGUUGGAGAGGGAUUCCGUCCAAAUGACAAGGAGUUGGUUAAUCAUUUUCUUAAGCUGAAGUUGCUUGGCUAUGAUCAACGAGUCCGUAAAAUCCCUCAACUUAACAUCUACAAAUUUGAGCCCUGGGAUUUACCGCAGCAUUUUGGAACAGAUUUAGGCAAUCCAUAUUGGUAUUUCUUCUGUCCACGCAAUAAUGGAAGGCCCAGCAGGACUACAGAAGCUGG
rnacentral:misc_RNA from 1 species